UGUCCAGCAACUCCUAUCCCUACCUCCUCGGGUAAGAAACCCCGGUGUGAAGUUUGGUCGUAUGCUGACAGGGAAGG
rnacentral:ribozyme from 1 species